rnacentral:lncRNA from 1 species
GCUUCCCUGCCAUCUUUCCUCUUCCGAGCAUAAUGGCACAAUGACUCUCACAAAAUUAGGCAAAGAUCUCGCUGUUUUCGGGAAGAAUACAAGGCAAAUCUUUUUUGAAUCUUGCCUCUCUGAUUCUUCCUCUUUUCUUUUGCCUCUACCAACGUUCAAAUUUCAAAAGGGUUAGAGGUAAAAUCCCGCCCAAAGAGCCAUAUGUUUCUUUUAUAAAUACUUGCAAUAGGGAAAUAUUGGGGGGACUUCUGGAUGCUAUCUUCUCCUCACUAAAAUUCACUCUUUCCUAUUAGCUAUCUCCUUAAGUAAAAGCUUUAACUUUAACACCUCUACUAUUUCUAUUUGGUAUUUACAUAGCAGAAAUUUUGGUUAUCCUUUAUUUAUUUUAGUUGAGUCUUCUUUUGUCCGAGAGGAAGGAGUAAGGUCGAGAUCGAAGUUCGAUAGCACAUCUAAGACCCGCCUCAGUUCGCUGCCCUGCAAAAGGUUUGUAUCUUCCCCUCUCGCUCUCAUUUUGAUUUUGAUUAGGGUACGUUUGAUGCCUGGUGUGUAUUUGCUGGAGGACUGUUAGUUUCUAUUAAGCUUUUAUAUUUGGUGCUAUAAAAAUAGCUCUAAUAAAUGUUUGUUUAAGGUAAUGAUCUAUGACUAAAGUUGUUAGCAAUAAUCCUUUAAGGAGAUCAUGUUCUGGUAUGUAGUGUUAGAAGUAUGCUUGACUGAUAUUUGAUGAAAUGCUCACAUGAAAAUACCUAUCUCCUUUUGAAUACUUUUCUAUUAGAUGCCAUGAUUUUAAGAAGGAUUUUUUCCAUGAGCUAGUCGCCUUGCAAAAGAUUAAUUUGCUAUUGUGAUUUAGCACCUUUGCGCCUAAACAUCAUGCUUAGGAUUCCGAACAACUUGUUUAAGAAUAGAUUUAUCUAAAUGCAUACUGUUAAGCUAGGACUUGAUAUGCUUUAGCCAAAGUUAUGAACUUAUUGCUAUUAGUUAUCCAAAAUUCUUUUCUUUAGGAAACAAAUAUGGCUGAAAUUUCAUAAAAUAAUAUGACACUAUGACCUCUUUUCAUAUCUUGAUCUUGAUACAUUGUUAAAAAUCAAGUUCCACUUAGUAAUCCUUCUUAUCCUUGCAUAUAUUAAUUAAACUCUUAAGUUAUUUUGCUAACGGUUUAUUUUUCUCUUUCUUUAUAUGUACACUUUGGAGCACAUGGAGUCUUAAUUCGAGACCCUUGCAAUGGAGUCUCAAAAUGAGACUUGACGCCACUAUCCGAGCACGGAGUCAUCACAUACCAUAUUCCUUAGAUGCACCAAAUAGCAAGAAAACAAGCGAAACGCUUGGGGGCGC